AGAGUUUGAUCCUGGCUCAGAACGAACGCUGGCGGCGCGUCUUAAGCAUGCAAGUCGAACGGCAAGAGAGGAGCUUGCUUCUCUCCUAGAGUGGCGGACUGGUGAGGAACACGUGGGUAAUCUACCCUUAAGAUGGGGAUAGCUGCUAGAAAUAGCAGGUAAUACCGAAUACACUCAGUGCUUCAUAAGAGGUAUUGAGGAAAGGAAGCUACGGCUUCGCUUGAGGAUGAGCUUGCGUCCCAUUAGCUAGUUGGUGAGGUAACGGCCCACCAAGGCGACGAUGGGUAUCCGGCCUGAGAGGGUGAACGGACACAUUGGGACUGAGAUACGGCCCAAACUCCUACGGGAGGCAGCAGCUAAGAAUAUUCCGCAAUGGACGAAAGUCUGACGGAGCGACGCCGCGUGGAUGAAGAAGGCUGAAAAGUUGUAAAAUCCUUUUGUUGAUGAAGAAUAAGGGUGAGAGGGAAUGCUCAUCUGAUGACGGUAAUCGACGAAUAAGCCCCGGCUAAUUACGUGCCAGCAGCCGCGGUAACACGUAAGGGGCGAGCGUUGUUCGGAAUUAUUGGGCGUAAAGGGCAUGUAGGCGGUUAUGUAAGCCUGAUGUGAAAUCCUGGGGCUUAACCCCAGAAUAGCAUUGGGUACUGUGUAACUUGAAUUACGGAAGGGAAACUGGAAUUCCAAGUGUAGGGGUGGAAUCUGUAGAUAUUUGGAAGAACACCGGUGGCGAAGGCGGGUUUCUGGCCGAUAAUUGACGCUGAGAUGCGAAAGUGUGGGGAUCGAACAGGAUUAGAUACCCUGGUAGUCCACACUGUAAACGAUGUACACUAGGUGUUGGGGCAAGAGCUUCAGUGCCAAAGCAAACGCGAUAAGUGUACCGCCUGGGGAGUAUGCCCGCAAGGGUGAAACUCA
rnacentral:rRNA from 1 species